CCUACGGGAGGCAGCAGUGAGGAAUAUUGGUCAAUGGAGGCAACUCUGAACCAGCCAUGCCGCGUGCAGGAAGAAUGCCCUCUGGGUUGUAAACUGCUUUUAUUGGGGAAGAAACCCCCGCUCGUGAGCGGGGCUGACGGUACCCAAGGAAUAAGGACCGGCUAACUCCGUGCCAGCAGCCGCGGUAAUACGGAGGGUCCAAGCGUUAUCCGGAAUCAUUGGGUUUAAAGGGUGCGCAGGCGGUACUGUAAGUCAGUGGUGAAAUCUCUCGGCUCAACCGAGAAACUGCCAUUGAUACUGCAGUACUUGAAUACAGUUGGAGUAGGCGGAAUGUGUAGUGUAGCGGUGAAAUGCUUAGAUAUUACACAGAACACCGAUAGCGAAGGCAGCUUACUAAACUGAGAUUGACGCUCAUGCACGAAAGCGUGGGGAGCGAACAG
rnacentral:rRNA from 1 species